rnacentral:rRNA from 1 species
ACUACGGGAGGCAGCAGUGGGGAAUAUUGGACAAUGGGGGAAACCCUGAUGCAGCGACGCCGCGUGAGUGAAGAAGUAUCUCGGUACGUAAAGCUCUAUCAGCAGGGAAGAAAAUGACGGUACCUGACUAAGAAGCCCCGGCUAACUACGUGCCAGCAGCCGCGGUAAUACGUAGGGGGCAAGCGUUAUCCGGAUUUACUGGGUGUAAAGGGAGCGUAGACGGCAGCACAAGUCUGGAGUGAAAUCCCGGGGCUUAACCCCGGAACUGCUUUGGAAACUGUUAAGCUCGAGACCGUUAGGGGUAACUGGAAUUUCUAGUGUAGGAGUGAAAUCCGUAGAUAUUAGAAGGAACACCAAUAGCGUAGGCAGGUUACUGGGACGGUUCUGACACUAAGGCACGAAAGCGUAGGGAGCAAACGGGAUUAGAUACCCUUGUAGUC